rnacentral:rRNA from 1 species
CCUACGGGAGGCUGCAGUGGGGAAUAUUGGACAAUGGGGGCAACCCUGAUCCAGCCAUGCCGCGUGUGUGAAGAAGGCCCUCGGGUUGGAAAGCACUUUCAGUGAGGAAGAACGCCUGGUGGUUAAUACCCAUCAGGAAAGACAUCACUCACAGAAGAAGCACCGGCUAACUCCGUGCCAGCAGCCGCGGUAAUACGGAGGGUGCGAGCGUUAAUCGGAAUUACUGGGCGUAAAGCGCGCGUAGGUGGCUUGAUAAGCCGGUUGUGAAAGCCCCGGGCUCAACCUGGGAACGGCAUCCGGAACUGUCAAGCUAGAGUGCAGGAGAGGAAGGUAGAAUUCCCGGUGUAGCGGUGAAAUGCGUAGAGAUCGGGAGGAAUACCAGUGGCGAAGGCGGCCUUCUGGACUGACACUGACACUGAGGUGCGAAAGCGUGGGUAGCAAACAGGAUUAGAUACCCCGGUAGUC